GCGGCGGACGGUGAGUAACACGUGGACAAUCUGCCCCCCGGCCCGGGAUAGCCCAGGGAAACCUGGAUUAAUACCGGAUGAGACGGGACCCGCGAUGGCGGGAUCCGGGAAAGGCGCUGCGGCGCCGCCGGGGGAUGAGUCUGCGUCCCAUUAGCUAGACGGCGGGGUAACGGCCCACCGUGGCGACGAUGGGUAGCCGGCCUGAGAGGGUGGACGGCCACAUUGGAACUGAGACACGGUCCAGACUCCUACGGGAGGCAGCAGCUAAGAAUCUUCCGCAAUGGGCGAAAGCCUGACGGAGCCGACGCCGCGUGAACGAAGAAGGCCGUGAGGUUGUAAAGUUCUUUUCGGGAGGGGGAACAACCGUGGCAGGGAAUGGCCGCGGGAUGACGUGAAUCCCGGAAUAAGCCCCGGCUAACUACGUGCCAGCCGCGGC
rnacentral:rRNA from 1 species